rnacentral:sRNA from 1 species
UGCGGAAGGAUCAUUAUAAAUGAAAAUCUGAAAAAUAAACAUAUCUAACUUCCAGGGAAGACGUGAACCUGCACGGUUCACCGCCCUCUGUCAGGGCCACCCAAUACCUGUGAAAUGUCACCGUUCUACCGGAUGGCAGACUUGAAUAAACAAGGAAAAACAAAAUGUGAUCAGGCAUGGUGGCCCGUUGUACCUUCAUCAUAACCCUCUGAGUACCACUUCCACGUUGCUUCCCCGCAAACCAACCUCUCCGGUGGGAGCGGGGAAGGUCUGCCUCACACUCACCUGCACGCAACAGCAGUCAGACAGCCAUUUACAUAAACAGUAAAACUUUCAACAACGGAUCUCUUGGUUCCCGCAUCGAUGAAUGAACGCAGCGAAAUGCGAUAAGUAAUGUGAAUWGCAGAAUWCAGUGAAUCAUCGAAUCUUKGAACGCACAUUGCGCCCUCUGGUAUUCCGGGGGGCAUGCCUGUUCGAGCCUCAAUGAAAACUCUCCUCCCGUGCUGGUGUGUUCCGGCACGUGGAGGGUUCUGGUGGAUGCCCACACGUUCGAACUGUGUGCGCGCCGCCCAAAUCCGCUGUCCGCGAGCCUGGGAAUUGCAUGCCGACGUAGUGAGAUUCAAUCUCGUUGGCUGUAAGUACCUGACAGAGGCAUACGGGACCUUAAGCGCCAUGGCGCCGACACUGUAACGGUUGAGCUCGGAUCAGGUAGGGAUACCCGCUGAACUGUAAGCAUAUCAAUAAGCGGAGGAA